rnacentral:rRNA from 1 species
GGAAUCUUCCACAAUGGGCGCAAGUCUGAUGGAGCAACGCCGCGUGAGUGAAGAAGGUCUUCGGAUCGUAAAACUCUGUUGUUAGAGAAGAACACGAGUGAGAGUAACUGUUCAUUCGAUGACGGUAUCUAACCAGCAAGUCACGGCUAACUACGUGCCAG